rnacentral:lncRNA from 1 species
GUUUUUUGUUGUUUCCUUUUUCAUUUCAGCAAAUUGAAAAUUGUGUGAGCGUCCACCUCGGAUACGGAUGCAAGAGACUCCGAGUGCGAUCCGACAGCAUUGCGUGGCAAUUACAUGAGCCUGGGCCGGUCAUAAAUUUCAUCCUUUCACGCGGCAGCCGAAAGGAGUAGGGCCCCUGGGCCUGGCGGGGAGUCUGGCCCUGCCACUGCCGCUUCGAGGUGGCCAGAGUGGCGUGUGGCGCGGGGCCCGAGACAUGCGGCAUGUUUCAGGGUAAGUAGAUGGCGAUUGCGAUGGCGAUGGCCACAUUUCAUGUCGUGUUUACACUCACUUUCCGAUCGCUCCUACAGAAAGCAAGGGGCAAAGAUAUUAAAAAACUGCAAUUAACUCGGCCCAUUCUCCGCGCCAUAAUUGACCAGGGCUCGAUGCCUCUUGCGACAGUCUCGGCCUCGACUUAUUUAUAUUAUUAAGUUUCUUUUUUUUAUACUUUAUCAAUUUACUCUUUCCUGCACUCGACCACUCGCAAUUAUUUGGAACGCUCAGAGAAACCCGUGGACCUGCAUAAUGCCAGUCAAGCGCAUGAAAAUAUUUUAAAGCAUUCAUUUUUGAUAUCUGAGCACUCAGAUGGGCGUAUCUCUCUAUGUGCUUGUGUCUUAGUCUUAGAUAUUCCAAUGCCUUAGGUCGUGUGUUUCCCAAACAUUUCAUACAGCUAAUUUACAAAUCCAAUUGAAGUGUUUCCUCACCGGAGAAGGGCCACCCAAGAAGCAAAUGGAACAGAACGCACCCGUAUUUCAGUUCUCUGACCCAAUUAUAGUCAAUAUGCGAGUUGAUAGGGGAGUGGGG